rnacentral:misc_RNA from 1 species
UAGCUGAGAAUUCGAGUCCAGGGAACCCUCACUGCACAUUCUGAAAAAGAAAAAUGGCGGCCCUCGCGAGCUGCGGGUUCGGGACGGUAAGAGAGUUGCUCAAGCGAAUAGUGCUAGGUCAGGCUCUUGCAUUCCUCAACUCCCUCACCGGCGUCUCUACCACGAAGCUCGUUAACAGCAACGCAAGCUAUCCUGUGCUUCAGUCUAUCACAGCAUACGCAUUUAUUUUCGCGUUCUAUCUUCCAGCUUUUCUCUUUAUAAUGUACAAGCACCGCGCUCAAAGAUUUUCAAACUUUAGGUUUUUAAAUCGUUGGUGGAAGUACGCCAUCUUGGCUGUAAUUGACCUUGAGGCCAACUACGUCGUAGUACUUGCCUAUCAGUACACGAACAUGAUUUCCGUUCAGCUGCUCAACUGCUUUACGGUACCAUGCGUUAUGGUUAUGAGCUUUUUUGUGUUGCGAAUGAAAUUUGCCGUCACUCACGUUGUUGGUGGGGUGAUCGCGAUCGGCGGACUGGUGUUUCUAAUCGCGCUUGACGCUGAUGGACUUUCUCGCAGCGAGCGCGGGAGUCAGGAAGUUCUCGGGGACAUCUUGUGCUUGAUUUCAAGCUCUUUGUAUGCGACAAGCAACGUGUUGACAGAAUGGUUCGUGAAACCAUCAAAACCAGCCUUCAUCUUCAACUGCUGCGGUGGAAACGGGAGUGGUGAAGCAAAGGAUGAAGUCACACAGGCAUCACCCUCGACCGACAUUCAGGAGCCCUCUAGCAUAUUUCCAGAGGAAGGGGAGAUAUACGCGGCAGAGGAUCACACGAAAGUCCCCGUUUUCAUUCCGGUUGUCGAGAACCUGGCAAUGAUGUCGUCGUUCGCCUUGCUUUUCUCAACGAUACAAUUCUUUGCAGUGGAGUGGAAAAUGUUCAAGCCCAAUCGCAGCUCCUGGACAGGACAAGACUGGCUGUUUCAGAUGGUGUUUGGUGUCACAAUGUUGCUGGUUUACACCGCCAUGCCGAUAAUCUUCAUCAUUUCUAGCGCGGCUUUCGCCAAUAUAUCCUUGCUGACUGCUAACAUCUACGCCAUUAUCUGGAAUGUCACCAUUUUCAAGAUAUAUCCCACUAAACUGUUUUUUGUUUCGUAUGUCAUUAUUGCCGUCGGCAUCUUGUUGUACAAUCUGACGGACAUUGUAAGAAUCCCGUUCUGCGCCCGCUGGAAUUACCCUUGUGGUGAUCCGUUCAAGGAAAAUGGAAACGAGACGGAAACAGAUGCAGAAGAACAGGUGCAUGAAGCAGCCGAAGGGCUUCCCCAGCGCGAAGCAGGGAGCCCCUCGAAAGAGUCUGGUGGUGGAAAGCAGGGUGACGCCACGGCAAAAUCGACAUGCGGUGUCAGUACCCAACUACAUGAGCAGCAACGCGAGCAUUGAAUUUCCUUUUUUCGUACUGCUUAAUCUUAGCAGCAGAGUUCGCAGUAAGGCAUCGUACUAAGAACACUGAUGAGGGAAAAAAGUUAGUAAGGGCAUUGGCAUAUUGUGCGACAGCUACUGAGUGUGUGCGGAGCGGGAGGAAAAGCACCUCUCUCGCUUGCGUUUCGAAAGGAGAAUUCACCAGCGGGAACAUGCGUGACGAGGGGAGGGCAUAGCACCUAGAACCUAGUAUUUGAAUGCACUUCUUUUCUUGUCAUCCCCGUAACUCUCAAUCGAUGUCUUCCGUCUUUUUUUUCUACUAGCAUCUGUUUCCAACCAUUUUCCAUCUUUUCGCCUUGCCGGUGCUGAUUUUACGAUGCGGACAG